rnacentral:piRNA from 1 species
UAAAAAGCAAAACCCGUUACAUACUU